CACACUGGACUGAGACACGGUCCAGACUCCUACGGGAGGCAGCAGUGGGGAAUAUUGCACAAUGGGCGCAAGCCUGAUGCAGCCAUGCCGCGUGUGUGAAGAAGGCCUUCGGGUUGUAAAGCACUUUCAGUCGUGAGGAAGGUAGUGUAGUUAAUAGCUGCAUUAUUUGACGUUAGCGACAGAAGAAGCACCGGCUAACUCCGUGCCAGCAGCCGCGGUAAUACGGAGGGUGCGAGCGUUAAUCGGAAUUACUGGGCGUAAAGCGCAUGCAGGUGGUUUGUUAAGUCAGAUGUGAAAGCCCGGGGCUCAACCUCGGAAUAGCAUUUGAAACUGGCAGACUAGAGUACUGUAGAGGGGGGUAGAAUUUCAGGUGUAGCGGUGAAAUGCGUAGAGAUCUGAAGGAAUACCGGUGGCGAAGGCGGCCCCCUGGACAGAUACUGACACUCAGAUGCGAAAGCGUGGGGAGCAAACAGGAUUAGAUACCCUGGUAGUCCACGCCGUAAACGAUGUCUACUUGGAGGUUGUGGCCUUGAGCCGUGGCUUUCGGAGCUAACGCGUUAAGUAGACCGCCUGGGGAGUACGGUCGCAAGAUUAAAACUCAAAUGAAUUGACGGGGGCCCGCACAAGCGGUGGAGCAUGUGGUUUAAUUCGAUGCAACGCGAAGAACCUUACCUACUCUUGAC
rnacentral:rRNA from 1 species